CACCAGUGACCUACCCUGGUCAGCCUCCAGUGCCACUCCCUGGGCAGCAGCAGCCAGUGCCGAGCUACCCAGGAUACCCGGGGUCUGGGACUGUCACCCCCGCUGUGCCCCCAACCCAGUUUGGAAGCCGAGGCACCAUCACUGAUGCUCCCGGCUUUGACCCUCUGCGAGAUGCCGAGGUCCUGCGGAAGGCCAUGAAAGGCUUCGGGACGGAUGAGCAGGCCAUCAUCGACUGCCUGGGGAGUCGCUCCAACAAGCAGCGGCAGCAGAUCCUACUUUCCUUCAAGACGGCUUACGGCAAGGUGAGCUGCGGGGUGGGGGCGCGGGACAGUGAGGCGUGUCCUGGGCUCAGCACAGCCCUGCUCUCCCCUGCUUUUCCUUGGGUGGGCCCGGAUCUCCCGGAUGGACAGUAAGGAGCAGGAGGGCAUUUCCUUCUGCCCAUCCAGCUGGUGGCAUCAUUGGGAGGUGAAGGAUGCCACCGGGUGCUGAGGUUUGCUGAGAGGCUCCAGACAUCUAUCCCUGGGUUCUAGCCCUUGCUCUGCCACAUCUCACUGAGGUUGUGGCCACAUCAUUUUCCUUCCCCUGCCCUCUUCAUGACCACCCUGGGGAGUUUAGCUGAUGUAAGAGCUUUGCAGGGAAAGGCUGUGAGUGCUGCCCAAGUACGAGGGGCGUGUAUGAGCAUAUUUUGAACUUCUGGGGUUUUGAAUCUUAGAAAGAUAAAAAUUCGGUAAAUAUUGAUUAGAUUCGUGUUCUAGCCCGGUGCUUCUCAAACUUCAUUGUGUCACCAGUCCCC
rnacentral:sRNA from 1 species